GCCUGUGUGGCUCAGUGGCUAGAGCAUUGGUUUGAGCACCUAAGUGUCGCAGGUUUGAAUCUCGGUCAAGGGCA
rnacentral:tRNA from 1 species